CAUAGCUCAGUUGACAGAGCGUGAGGUUUUUAAUCUCAGGGUUGUGGGUUCGAGCCCCACAUUGGACGA